CAUUUUCUAAUACUAUUUUAUGUGUUAAAUUAUAAUUAAAAUAAAAGAUACUUUUUUUAAUGAAAUAACAAUUUUUUUUUAUUGUUCAUAAACCCCUCAAGCAUAUUUAUAGGAUUAGGUAUAAUCAGGUAGGUUACUGUAUAUGAAGUUUUAUUUUUUUAAAAAGGCACGCAAUAUGACUUUAUUUUUAUAUAGCUUUUUUUUAAAGUUAUUUCCAUAGCUUUUCAAUUUAAACAAUGUUUCGGUUGUUUUUUUUGUUUUAAAUUAUGCUUAAAUAAUACAAUUAAAUUUAUAUUUAUUCGUAAAUGCACUUAGUAUCUGAAGUUAUUUGUCAAUAACUGGUGAUCAGACUAUUUCAAACGAAUACGUUUCAUAAGGGCUGAGAAGGUGAAAGUUAGAAGUCUGCAGACUGCAACGUAAAUCAAUUUUCAACACAUGGUUUCCUGAAUAUAUUUAGUUUUCGAUUGAAAUGAGAAUAAACUGAACUUAUAGAUA